rnacentral:lncRNA from 1 species
AUUUUACUGAUGGAUCGUUGUUACUGCCGCCGAUUACAAGCGAUCAAUUGGUUCUGCGGGAUGCUUACAAUACUAUGGUGUUCUGCUAGAUUAAUAACUCUUUACAUCCAGAGAUCAGGCGUAGUGUUUUGAAUCUUGAAGUUGCACAGACUUUGUGGCAAGAACUUAAGCGUCGAUUUGGUAAAGGUAAUGCACUGAAGAUGGAAAAUCUCCAAGACGAGACCCACAAAUGUAAGCAGGGACCUCUGACUGUCACGCAAUACUAUACCAUCAUUAAAGGUUUGUGGGAGGAAUAUAGUGAGCGUUCUUGGAAAUAUUGCUCUCUGUCCAACAGUCAUUGCAUUUCAGGAGAAGUAGGAUACAUACUAUCUGCGUGUUUAGAUUUCUGCGUGGAUUAAGUGAUGAUUAUGAUAUUGUUAGAACUCAGAUUCUGAUGAUGAAUCCUUUGCCUACGACUACUGCUCUUAUGAUUAGGCCUUAUACCAUGAGGAAAAGCUGAGAGGAGGAAUAACGAUAGGAAAAUUGAAUCCUUCUCGGUAGCAGUGUUUGGAGUAAAUGCAACAACAUCGAUGGCUCGAUUAUAGCAGCCUCUAGUCGCCAAGGGCCCUCUCCAACUCCUAAUCAGAUGUCAGGGAAGAAAUUCCGCCGUUAUUGCAAAAAAAAGAGAAUCACAAUAUCAAAGAAUGUAUGAAGUUGAAGAUCAAAUGGCAAAAUGAACAAGCUACUCAAGCUGGAGAGAGUAAUGUUGGAUAUAACAACCUUUUUGUUGGUGCACUAGCUCAAAUUGAGCCAACAAGUGAGCCAACAAGUGAGCCAACCGGUUCCUCUGUUGCAGCAUUCAGCUCAUUCACUACUGAAGAAAUCAAUCAACUACGGGGUAUGUUGUAGAAAAAUCCUCCAAUCUGAGCUUUCUCAGUUAUGCAGAGUCAUCCUUCCCUUCCUAACCAUAGAUUUGAGUAUAACCCUUGGCAACAAGACUUGCUUUGUGCCUUUCAAUGGAUCCAUCUGUUUUCAAUUUGGUCUUCUAUAUCCACUUGCACCCCACAUGAUGAAAUGUUCUUGAUAAAGGAACCAAUUCCCAAGUUUGAUAUUUAGCCAAUGCUGCAAGUUCCUUCUUCGUUGCUGUGUUCCACUUUGGAUGUUUAGAUGCUUCUGUAUAAGUAGUAGGUUCUUGUUGAACAAGAACAAUUAAGGAAAAACACUUAUAAUGAUCAGAAAGGUUAUCAUAGGUAACCACGGUUGUAAUAGAAUGCUUUGUAACUCCUUUAUCAAGAUGAUAAAUCUUGUAAAUGGAUUGGUGCCCUUCUCUCCCUUGUAGAAUGCCUUAG